rnacentral:rRNA from 1 species
GGCAGUCAGAGGCGAUGAAGGACGUGCUAAUCUGCGAUAAGCGUCGGUAAGGUGAUAUGAACCGUUAUAACCGGCGAUUUCCGAAUGGGGAAACCCAGUGUGUUUCGACACACUAUCAUUAACUGAAUCCAUAGGUUAAUGAGGCGAACCGGGGGAACUGAAACAUCUAAGUACCCCGAGGAAAAGAAAUCAACCGAGAUUCCCCCAGUAGCGGCGAGCGAACGGGGAGCAGCCCAGAGCCUGAAUCAGUAUGUGUGUUAGUGGAAGCGUCUGGAAAGGCGCGCGAUACAGGGUGACAGCCCCGUACACAAAAAUGCACAUAUUGUGAGCUCGAUGAGUAGGGCGGGACACGUGGUAUCCUGUCUGAAUAUGGGGGGACCAUCCUCCAAGGCUAAAUACUCCUGACUGACCGAUAGUGAACCAGUACCGUGAGGGAAAGGCGAAAAGAACCCCGGCGAGGGGAGUGAAAAAGAACCUGAAACCGUGUACGUACAAGCAGUGGGAGCACGCUUAGGCGUGUGACUGCGUACCUUUUGUAUAAUGGGUCAGCGACUUAUAUUCUGUAGCAAGGUUAACCGAAUAGGGGAGCCGAAGGGAAACCGAGUCUUAACUGGGCGUUAAGUUGCAGGGUAUAGACCCGAAACCCGGUGAUCUAGCCAUGGGCAGGUUGAAGGUUGGGUAACACUAACUGGAGGACCGAACCGACUAAUGUUGAAAAAUUAGCGGAUGACUUGUGGCUGGGGGUGAAAGGCCAAUCAAACCGGGAGAUAGCUGGUUCUCCCCGAAAGCUAUUUAGGUAGCGCCUCGUGAAUUCAUCUCCGGGGGUAGAGCACUGUUUCGGCAAGGGGGUCAUCCCGACUUACCAACCCGAUGCAAACUGCGAAUACCGGAGAAUGUUAUCACGGGAGACACACGGCGGGUGCUAACGUCCGUCGUGAAGAGGGAAACAACCCAGACCGCCAGCUAAGGUCCCAAAGUCAUGGUUAAGUGGGAAACGAUGUGGGAAGGCCCAGACAGCCAGGAUGUUGGCUUAGAAGCAGCCAUCAUUUAAAGAAAGCGUAAUAGCUCACUGGUCGAGUCGGCCUGCGCGGAAGAUGUAACGGGGCUAAACCAUGCACCGAAGCUGCGGCAGCGACACUAUGUGUUGUUGGGUAGGGGAGCGUUCUGUAAGCCUGUGAAGGUGUGCUGUGAGGCAUGCUGGAGGUAUCAGAAGUGCGAAUGCUGACAUAAGUAACGAUAAAGCGGGUGAAAAGCCCGCUCGCCGGAAGACCAAGGGUUCCUGUCCAACGUUAAUCGGGGCAGGGUGAGUCGACCCCUAAGGCGAGGCCGAAAGGCGUAGUCGAUGGGAAACAGGUUAAUAUUCCUGUACUUGGUGUUACUGCGAAGGGGGGACGGAGAAGGCUAUGUUGGCCGGGCGACGGUUGUCCCGGUUUAAGCGUGUAGGCUGGUUUUCCAGGCAAAUCCGGAAAAUCAAGGCUGAGGCGUGAUGACGAGGCACUACGGUGCUGAAGCAACAAAUGCCCUGCUUCCAGGAAAAGCCUCUAAGCAUCAGGUAACAUCAAAUCGUACCCCAAACCGACACAGGUGGUCAGGUAGAGAAUACCAAGGCGCUUGAGAGAACUCGGGUGAAGGAACUAGGCAAAAUGGUGCCGUAACUUCGGGAGAAGGCACGCUGAUAUGUAGGUGAAGUCCCUCGCGGAUGGAGCUGAAAUCAGUCGAAGAUACCAGCUGGCUGCAACUGUUUAUUAAAAACACAGCACUGUGCAAACACGAAAGUGGACGUAUACGGUGUGACGCCUGCCCGGUGCCGGAAGGUUAAUUGAUGGGGUUAGCCGCAAGGCGAAGCUCUUGAUCGAAGCCCCGGUAAACGGCGGCCGUAACUAUAACGGUCCUAAGGUAGCGAAAUUCCUUGUCGGGUAAGUUCCGACCUGCACGAAUGGCGUAAUGAUGGCCAGGCUGUCUCCACCCGAGACUCAGUGAAAUUGAACUCGCUGUGAAGAUGCAGUGUACCCGCGGCAAGACGGAAAGACCCCGUGAACCUUUACUAUAGCUUGACACUGAACAUUGAGCCUUGAUGUGUAGGAUAGGUGGGAGGCUUUGAAGUGUGGACGCCAGUCUGCAUGGAGCCGACCUUGAAAUACCACCCUUUAAUGUUUGAUGUUCUAACGUUGACCCGUAAUCCGGGUUGCGGACAGUGUCUGGUGGGUAGUUUGACUGGGGCGGUCUCCUCCUAAAGAGUAACGGAGGAGCACGAAGGUUGGCUAAUCCUGGUCGGACAUCAGGAGGUUAGUGCAAUGGCAUAAGCCAGCUUGACUGCGAGCGUGACGGCGCGAGCAGGUGCGAAAGCAGGUCAUAGUGAUCCGGUGGUUCUGAAUGGAAGGGCCAUCGCUCAACGGAUAAAAGGUACUCCGGGGAUAACAGGCUGAUACCGCCCAAGAGUUCAUAUCGACGGCGGUGUUUGGCACCUCGAUGUCGGCUCAUCACAUCCUGGGGCUGAAGUAGGUCCCAAGGGUAUGGCUGUUCGCCAUUUAAAGUGGUACGCGAGCUGGGUUUAGAACGUCGUGAGACAGUUCGGUCCCUAUCUGCCGUGGGCGCUGGAGAACUGAGGGGGGCUGCUCCUAGUACGAGAGGACCGGAGUGGACGCAUCACUGGUGUUCGGGUUGUCAUGCCAAUGGCACUGCCCGGUAGCUAAAUGCGGAAGAGAUAAGUGCUGAAAGCAUCUAAGCACGAAACUUGCCCCGAGAUGAGUUCUCCCUGACUCCUUGAGAGUCCUGAAGGAACGUUGAAGACGACGACGUUGAUAGGCCGGGUGUGUAAGCGCAGCGAUGCGUUGAGCUAACCGGUACUAAUGAACCGUGAGGCUUAACCUU